GAUGAACGCUAGCGGGAGGCCUAACACAUGCAAGCCGAGCGGUAUUGUUUCUUCGGAAAUGAGAGAGCGGCGUACGGGUGCGUAACAUGUGUGCAACCUGCCUUUAUCUGGGGGAUAGCCUUUCGAAAGGAAGAUUAAUACUCCAUAAUAUAUUGAACGGCAUCGUUUAAUAUUGAAAGCUCCGGCGGAUAGAGAUGGGCACGCGCAAGAUUAGCUAGUUGGUGAGGUAACGGCUCACCAAGGCGAUGAUCUUUAGGGGGCCUGAGAGGGUGAUCCCCCACACUGGUACUGAGACACGGACCAGACUCCUACGGGAGGCAGCAAUGAGGAAUAUUGGUCAAUGGGUGCAAGCCUGGACCAGCCAUCCCGCGUGAAGGACGACUGCCCUAUGGGUUGUAAACUUCUUUUGUAUAGGGAUAAACCUACCCUCGUGAGGGUAGCUGAAGGUACUAUACGAAUAAGCACCGGCUAACUCCGUG
rnacentral:rRNA from 1 species